AUUGAACGCUGGCGGCAGGCCUAACACAUGCAAGUCGAACGGUAACAGGAAGCAGCUUGCUGCUUUGCUGACGAGUGGCGGACGGGUGAGUAAUGUCUGGGAAACUGCCCGAUGGAGGGGGAUAACUACUGGAAACGGUAGCUACUACCGCAUAACGUCGCAAGACCAAAGAGGGGGACCUUCGGGCCUCUUGCCAUCGGAUGUGCCCAGAUGGGAUUAGCUAGUAGGUGGGGUAACGGCUCACCUAGGCGACGAUCCCUAGCUGGUCUGAGAGGAUGACCAGCCACACUGGAACUGAGACACGGUCCAGACUCCUACGGGAGGCAGCAGUGGGGAAUAUUGCACAAUGGGCGCAAGCCUGAUGCAGCCAUGCCGCGUGUAUGAAGAAGGCCUUCGGGUUGUAAAGUACUUUCAGCGGGGAGGAAGGGAGUAAAGUUAAUACCUUUGCUCAUUGACGUUACCCGCAGAAGAAGCCCCGGCUAACUCCGUG
rnacentral:rRNA from 1 species